GACCUUCUCUCAACCAUAUCAGUCAAUGAUGUGGCUUGGAUUGUGGGGUUUGCAGGCUUUCAAGUAUGAAAGUGCAGCUUCCCUGAAAUGCAUUAGUGGUAUCUGUCUGAGCUGCUAUUUGGUGUGAUAACUUAUCUAUGCCUUUUGGUGAUCAGCACCGCUUAUAACUUAUCAAUUUGACAA
rnacentral:misc_RNA from 1 species